rnacentral:tRNA from 1 species
UCCUCGGUAGCUCAAUGGUGGAGCACUCGGCUGUUAACCGAUAGGUUGGAGGUUCGAGCCCUCUCCGAGGAGCCA